UUUCCCUCGGGAUCGCUAGCACUUCAUCACUUCUGCAGUUUUAUCUGCUAAAGGGACAAAUUAGAGAUCUUGGGGCCAAAACAGUCUUAAUCUAUUCUCAAAAUUUAAAUGGGUAAAGUUUGAUUCCUGCAUUGCAGAGGCUACCAGAUCCUCAGGGUCCUU